rnacentral:rRNA from 1 species
GGCUACUACAUCCAAGGAAGGCAGCAGGCGCGCAAAUUACCCAAUCCCGACACGGGGAGGUAGUGACAAUAAAUACUGAUACAGGGCUCUUUUGGGUCUUGUAAUCGGAAUGAGUACAAUUUAAAUCUCUUAACGAGGAACAAUUGGAGGGCAAGUCUGGUGCCAGCAGCCGCGGUAAUUCCAGCUCCAAUAGCGUAUAUUAAAGUUGUUGUGGUUAAAAAGCUCGUAGUCGAACCUUGGGCCUGGCUGGCCGGUCCCCCUCACCGGGUGCACUGAUCCAGCCGGGCCUUUCCCUCUGUGGAACCCCAUGGCCUUCACUGGCUGUGCGGGGGAAACAGGACUUUUACUGUGAAAAAAUUAGAGUGCUCCAGGCAGGCCUAUGCUCGAAUACAUUAGCAUGGAAUAAUAGAAUAGGACGUGUGGUUCUAUUUUGUUGGUUUCUAGGACCGCCGUAAUGAUUAAUAGGGACAGUCGGGGGCAUCAGU